GUGGGGAAUCUUGCGCAAUGGGCGAAAGCCUGACGCAGCCAUGCCGCGUGAAUGAUGAAGGUCUUAGGAUUGUAAAAUUCUUUCACCGGUGAAGAUAAUGACUGUAGCCGGAGAAGAAGCCCCGGCUAACUUCGUGCCAGCAGCCGCGGUAAUACGAAGGGGGCUAGCGUUGCUCGGAUUUACUGGGCGUAAAGGGCGCGUAGGCGGACAUUUAAGUCAGGGGUGAAAUCCCGGGGCUCAACCUCGGAACUGCCUUUGAUACUGGGUGUCUUGAGUAUGAGAGAGGUGUGUGGAACUCCGAGUGUAGAGGUGAAAUUCGUAGAUAUUCGGAAGAACACCAGUGGCGAAGGCGACACACUGGCUCAUUACUGACGCUGAGGCGCGAAAGCGUGGGGAGCAAACAGGAUUAGAUACCCUAGUAGUCC
rnacentral:rRNA from 1 species